AUAGUUUCUCGGCCUUUUGGCUACGAUCAAGUGUGAUAUCUAUUAUCAGUUUAAUUUCUGAUAUGCCACCUGUCUGGGGACCAUAUAUAUAUUUUUGAGCACUGGGGCCGCUUUAGAAGCUUACUUCUGGGGCCUUGGGCAUUGACCCGUAAUGAGAAUAUCUUCAGGUACAGUGCGCCAAUU